AUUGAACGCUGGCGGCAUGCUUUACACAUGCAAGUCGAACGGCAGCGGGGAGGAGCUUGCUUCUCUGCCGGCGCGUGGCGAACGGGUGAGUAAUACAUCGGAACGCGUCGAGAAGAGGGGGAUAACCACCCGAAAGGGUGGCUAAUACCGCAUAAAUUCUGAGGAAGAAAGCUGGGGACCUAGGAAUAGGCCUAGCGCUUUUUGAGCGGCCGAUGUCGGAUUAGCUAGUUGGUGAGGUAAAGGCUCACCAAGGCGAAGAUCUGUAGCGGGUCUGAGAGGAUGAUCCGCCACACUGGGACUGAGACACGGCCCAGACUCCUACGGGAGGCAGCAGUGGGGAAUUUUGGACAAUGGGGGCAACCCUGAUCCAGCCAUGCCGCGUGUAUGAAGAAGGCCUUAGGGUUGUAAAGUACUUUUGUUAGGGAAGAAAAGUCAGCUGUGAAUAAUGGCUGAUACUGACGGUACCUAAAGAAUAAGCACCGGCUAACUACGUG
rnacentral:rRNA from 1 species